rnacentral:rRNA from 1 species
GUUUAUUAAGUUGGGGGUGAAAUCUCCGGGCUCAACCCGGAGCUCGUUCUCAAAACUGGUAGACUUGAGUAAGGUAGAGGCUGACGGAAUUCUGCAAGUAGGGGUAAAAUCCGUUGAUCUGCAGAGGAACACCAAAAGCGAAGGCAGUCAGCUGGGCCUUUACUGACGCUGAGGGACGAAAGCGUGGGUAGCGAACGGGAUUAGAUACCCCGGUAGUCCACGCCGUAAAUGAUGGAUACUGGACAUUGGUACUCGAUCGUAUCAGUGUCUCAAGCUAACGCAUUAAGUAUCCCGCCUGGGGAGUACGGUCGCAAGAUUAAAACUCAAAGGAAUAGACGGGGACCCACACAAGCGGUGGAGCAUGUGGUUUAAUUCGACAAUAAGCGAGGAACCUUACCAGGGCUUGACAUCCCGAGAAUUCUUUAGAAAUAGAGAAGUGCCUUUAUGGAACUCGGUGACAGGUGCUGCAUGGUUGUCGUCAGCUCGUGCCUUGAGGUGUUCGGUUAAGUCCGUAAACGAGCGCAACCCUAGUCCUAUGUUGUAUAUUUCAUAGGAGACUGCCUUGUCCAACGAGGAGGAAGGUUAGGAUGACGUCAAAUCAGCAUGGCCCUUAUGUCCUGGGCGACACACGUGCUACAAUGGUCGGUACAAUGGGUAGCCAACCCGCGAGGGGGAGCCAAUCCCAUCAAAGCCGGUCCAAGUUCGGAUUGGAGGCUGCAACUCGCCUCCAUGAAGUUGGAAUCGC